rnacentral:lncRNA from 1 species
GUCUAAAAAUGCGUCUGAUGGAGCUUUUGAAGCGAAGCAAGAAGACUGGGUUGAACCAGAAAAGUGGGCCUAAACAUGCGCCUGGAUAAGCCUUGACAAUAGAGGGAUGUACAACUUUGUUAUGACCAUUAAAAUCUCGAUGAGGAUUCAUGCAGCUAUCAAGGAAAUACUGUUGUCUCAUGCUCCUGCUGUAGGACCGGUUUAGACCUUUGGUCCCAACCCUCCUCU